CAGCAGCCGCGGUAAGACAGAGGAUGCAAGCGUUAUCCGGAAUGAUUGGGCGUAAAGCGUCUGUAGGUGGCUUUUCAAGUCCGCCGUCAAAUCCCAGGGCUCAACCCUGGACAGGCGGUGGAAACUACCAAGCUGGAGUACGGUAGGGGCAGAGGGAAUUUCCGGUGGAGCGGUGAAAUGCGUAGAGAUGUGGAGGAACACCGGUGGCGAAGGCGACUCUUUGGUCUGUAACUGACGCUGAGGAGCGAAAGCGUGGGGAGCGAACAGGAUUAGAGACCCCAGUAGUCCCUGUCUCUUAUAA
rnacentral:rRNA from 1 species